UACGUAGGGGGGCAAGCGUUGUCCGGAUUUAUUGGGCGUAAAGAGCUCGUAGGCGGCUUGGCAAGUCGGGUGUGAAAACUUCAGGCUCAACCUGGAGCGGCCACUCGAUACUGCUAUGGCUUGAGUCCGGUAGGGGACCACGGAAUUCCUGGUGUAGCGGUGAAAUGCGCAGAUAUCAGGAGGAACACCAGUGGCGAAGGCGGUGGUCUGGGCCGGAACUGACGCUGAGGAGCGAAAGCGUGGGUAGCAAACAGG
rnacentral:rRNA from 1 species